AUUGAACGCUGGCGGCAUGCCUUACACAUGCAAGUCGAACGGUAACAGGUCUUCGGAUGCUGACGAGUGGCGAACGGGUGAGUAAUACAUCGGAACGUGCCUAGUAGUGGGGGAUAACUACUCGAAAGAGUGGCUAAUACCGCAUGAGAUCUACGGAUGAAAGCAGGGGAUCGCAAGAACUUGUGCUACUAGAGCGGACGAUGGCAGAUUAGGUAGUUGGUGGGAUAAAAGCUUACCAAGCCGACGAUCUGUAGCUGGUCAGAGAGGACGAUCAGCCACACUGGGACUGAGACACGGCCCAGACUCCUACGGGAGGCAGCAGUGGGGAAUUGUGGACAAUGGGCGAAAGCCUGAUCCAGCAAUGCCGCGUGCAGGAUGAAGGCCUUCGGGUUGUACACUGCUUUUGUACGGAACGAAAAGCCCUGGGUUAAUACCCUGGGGUCAUGACGGUACCGUAAGAAUAAGCACCGGCUAACUACGUGCCAGCCGCCGCAGUAA
rnacentral:rRNA from 1 species